rnacentral:lncRNA from 1 species
AUUCUCCUGCCUCAGGCUCCCGAGUAGCUGGGAUUACAGGUGCCUGCCCCCACACCUGGCUAACUUUUGUAUUUUUAGUAGAGAUGAGGUUUCACCACAUUGGCCAGGCUGGUCUCGAACUCCUGACCUCAAGUGAUCUGCCUGCCUCAGCCUCUCAAAGUGCUGGGAUUACAGACACGAGCCACUGCACCCAGCUAUGCAGAUUUUCAAAUGAAAUAGUUGGGCACAUGUACCACAAUUCUCAAUCCCCUUUUACCUGUUUCAGAAAUAGAAAAUAAUUAAGAAUGAAGAAGAGACAAAUAAUUUCUAAAGAUGAUAUCUGUACAGAAAGCACUCCUGCAAGCCUUAUCCUCUCCUUACUUUAGGGAAUAAAGGGCACCUGCUCUCUUUAUCUCAAAUCUAGGGAUAGGUGUGCAGAGCACAACCUUAAGACUAGAACAUGGGGUAUAUUAGUUGGGAUAGGACAGGCUUUGUUGCAGUAACAAAUAAACCCAGAAAUCUCAGUUACUUAAUCCAAUAACAAUUUAUUUCAAGCUCAAGUUGAAGUCUGGUGCCGUUCCGGUUCUCCUCUUCCUCUUAUGGUGGUGCUAUCUGGAACUCAUUGCCUUUAAGGGAGAAGAGAUAGAGGAUGGAAACACUUGGCUCUUAAGUGCCUCUGUCCAGAAGAGACAUAUGGCUAUUCUAUUUACUUCACUGGCCAGAACUUGUUUCAUGGCCUCCAUCCAAAUGCAACAGAGACUGAGAAACAGAGGAGCACAUAGAUAUUUGGUGAGCACUAUCAACUUUUAGAGACUCUUCUCCUAGAUGAGCUUGAAAUGUGUUUCCUAAAUGCAGUUGGGAGACAUGGAACACCAGUGCUUGAGUCACUUCCCCUCUUGCAAAAGGCAAAGCAGCCAGUGGUACCAGGAAAACUCUGUUGGGUUCAGUUCGCACUUGCAGAGGUUGUCAAGGCAAGGAAUGUAUGGCUGUUUCCUAUGGAUUAGCUAGGGAGGGGGAGCUGAUGUGCGAUCAUUGUGGGACCCACCCAAUAGGGCCUUCUGGAAUGUGGAGGUGAAUGCAUAGGGCCAAGGAAAGAGCACCUAUAGUAGAGAUGCACCCAGAUUUCAGAUGGAAAGGCUCCAGCAG